AUUUAAACUAUAAAACUUUAUCUUGUGCUUGAAUCUCGUUAUGCAUCAAUUAUGCGCUUGUACUUGAACUUCGUCCUAUAUCAAUUUGCGCUUCCUUUGUCAUUCAUCAAAACCUACACAUAGGAACACACGUUUUAGUAUAAAGCCUUGAGAACAUGUUUCCAACACUAGGAAGAUUCUCAAGUUUAAAGGAAAAAUACUAAGCGACAAAAAAAGAACAUGUAAGACUGCAUUUGGGAGGAAAACAUAGAAGCAAAUAGAAGGCUUGGGUAUACCUCCACAAAUAAUACACACAGAUAGCACGACUCAUGCAAAACUAAAUUCUGAAUUGAGAAUCCUAAAGCAGGGGUCUAAGUGGUAAAUAGCAUAACAGAUUUAUUAUAUGACACAUAAAAGAAGUUCGAACCAGGCUUGCCUACCGAUUUUAACAGGUUGACAGUUAAACAAAGGCAUUUCCUGUUUUAGUCAAGUUAUUACCUAAGGCUUGCCUAGGCAUAAAGAAAUAUGCAGCAGUUAUUCAGAAUUAUUAAAAGACGGUUUUGAAAUUAUUUUAACCUAAGAGCAUGUUGUUCUAGUUAAAACUACACAGAGAAUAUUACAAAUCAUUUUAAAUAGAAUAAUCAAGUGUGAAGUUGUUUUACCGCUUUUAUAAUCAGCAAUUUACACUGAGUGUGAAUGUAAGUACAAAUGAGAUCCUAAAAUAUUGUAUCUAAGAUCCAGGUAGAAAACUCAUGAUGCAGAAUUCCUAGAGCAGGAUUUCAAAAUGCAUAUGACAUGAUUGAAAAAUUUACUAAGAGCGGGAUUUCUAAAUGUACAUGUCAGCGUAGAACAUAAUAGCAAAAAUGAUUAAUUGUUAGCACAUUUCAACACAUGAUUUUGUAAAGGUGCACAUGCCGAGACAAUAAACAUGAGACCUAAUAGUAUAAUUUCUAAUGCAUGCAUGAAUCCUAAGUAUGGUUUUUAUUGCGCAAUUAUGAACAUAAACCUAAUAACAUGUUUCUACCGUAACAACUACUACAUGCAUAUUUACCCCAUCCCUUUUUACUAGCCAACCCCAAUACUUGUUUAUAACAAGUUAUUACAGACCAAUAUUGAAAUGAAUUACAUAAUGAAAAUAAGAAGUUACACUAUAAGAAGACUAAUUAGGACUUCCUCUCUGAGUUAUGUAAUAAAUCACCUCAAGUGCCAAUAUUGUUCCAUAGCCCUUCUCAUACAUUGGUGUGCCAGAGUCUCAAGAAUCCCGGGAAGUGUUCACACCUAGAUUUUCAUAAUUAAGAUAGAAGAGGUGCAGUGUGGAAAGGAAAAUUCUUAUGUUUCCAAGUUCAGAGGUAGCUCAAGGGUCCCAAGGCAAGGCUCACACAAAAGGGACAGGACCUACAAAUCUAAGAGUAUACGUGAGAGUGCUUGAUAUGGGCUUAAAAGAGUUGAGUUGGAAAAUUUUUUCUGAAAAUGAUUAGUUUGUCAAAGUUUGCAACAACAAUAGAGAGUUGCUUGGAAGAACAAUUUUGAAAGGAGAAAGGGACAAUAGCAGGAACAGCACACACAGAGCAUGUUCAAAGAACAGUACAGUUUCAGAAGUUACAAAUAGGAAAGUAGGGGUUGGGGACAUAGGGGCCCAAAUUAGAAACACAUAAACAUGGAUUAGAAGAGAUGCAUAUAGAACAGCAAAUACAAAUAAGAAGUAGGGGAUGGUUGGUCUUCAUAUCACAAACAACUACUUAAAAAAAAAGUUAAUAAGGGAAUCAUGCUUGUCAAUAUAAUAGUAAUAAGACAUAGGGACAUGGUAUGGGAGUAGUCUUGCAGGGAUUUAUUACGCAUAAUUAGUCAAAUACAUUAAGAAACAUACUGAUUCAUGGAUAUAAAUAAGAACUCAAGUAGACAUGUUGGUUGCAUUUGAACAAUAGAGGGUAGGACUUAAACAUGCUGAGUAAAGCAGUGCAAUUAAACUACAUGAGCCAUUAAAUUAAUGCAAAAAGAGACAUGGAUUGAAAAACAAUGGAACACAUAGAGUUGAGUUUCGGAAUUGAAUUAGGAACAUACCACUUAAUAAAGAAAAGUGCAGAAUAGUAAAGCAAAUAGAAUUUCAUAGUCUAGCCCUGACUUUCAGCCGGCUAGACAAGCAGUAGCACAAGUAGUAAAGAAAGAAGAUAGAGUUUGAGUGCGUAUGUGUGUUCUAAACUAAUUGUUCGUGUCUUGAAAUGAGAGUAGAUGAGAGUAUAUAUAGUAGUUUAGGAGUGAAACAGAACAAGGUAAACAAAUCAUAGUUCAACAAUCAAGGAAAUUACACAUGAAAUUAGCGUAGUCUUCCUUGAAUUAAGAAAAAUACCCAAUGGUUAAAGGACAUGAGUCACUUAAGGAAAGAAAAUCAAAUCAGACCCAAGUAAAAAGGUAAGCAAAUAGAAGUUUAAUUAAGGAAGUAAUCGUGAAAAAUCUAUGACAUUACGGAUAAUAAGGUAAUAAGAAUAAUUAGAGUUAUAAAUAAGGGAAUGAACCAAUAAUCAGUACAUACUUUUAAAAAAGCAAAUCAGUCAAAUGAGAUUAAAAAUAAUACUGAUUUGAAGAGAGGACAAAUAUUAGUUUUCCAUAAAUAGAAAAAUAAGAAAAAAAUAGAAUUUCAUAAACAUGCAUAAACUUGCCAAGGGAUCGACUCAGAAACCGCAGUAGAGAUGAACUAGGAUAAAAGUCAUCAGAUACCGAAUUAGGCUAAAGGGGAAAAUUAUGAAAGUCAAAGCACAACACCAACAAUAUAACAAGUAGCUCGGAAAGUCUAAGAAUCGAAGCAAAACAUAAGAAAAUUAAGGAUUUAACGGAAACUAGUUAGGGUCCUGAUAAUUGUAGUAGAAAUCAAUCCAUAAUACCUAAGAGUAUAUGAUUAACACUUGAAAAUUAUGGAAGUUUUGAGAAGAUGAGUUUCAGUAAACCCUAGUUUAGAAAAGAGCAACUAAAACUGAAGUAGUUACUCAAAACAAGAGAUUACUAAAGGAUAACGUUUAAUAACACUUGAAUCAUCUCAAAUCUAUAAAGAUCUGAGAAGAACCGAACAGUAGCGAGUCUAGGAUUUUGAAAACUAGUAAGAAUGAAGAAAAAUCGGUUAAAAUUUCAUUGAUACACUUAGAUCUAAGACAAAUCUAAAGAAAAGUGGAAAAUCUCAAGAGCUAGGGUUUCAGAGAACCCAAAGGAGAUGAGAAAAUAAUAGAUCGUUACCAGUUUCAACCAUGGAUCUUACUCGAAUGACCGUGGAUUGUCGGAAAGUAGCAUAAAAGACCAUGGAUAUAAGUUGAGCAAGAUUUGGACUAUAUCUCUUCGAGAUCUUUCCACGAUAUCACAAAAACAGGCAACCAGGAGACGUGUGAGACAAGUAUAUAUCUCAAACAGCCAUGGGAAUCCAUUGAUUGAGUGAGGAUCAAAGGGGAUUAGGACUGGUUUGGGUGGGGGCUGCAGGGGUUAGAUUUAGGUCUCAGAGGAAAGGGGAUUCUAUGGCAGAGGUUUGGUAGGAAAUGAAUUAUGUUG
rnacentral:lncRNA from 1 species